rnacentral:rRNA from 1 species
AUGAGUGCCAAGUGCUGGAACUGCCGCGGAGCGGGCAAACCUACGGCAGUCUGAGAGCUUCGCGAGUUCGCGAUUAAGUUUUCCCCUACCAUGCCUUGUAUUGUAGAAACACAGAUUGAAGGAUCUAGGGUAGAAUCUUUAGCAAGUGCGAUUGGAUAUGAUAAGUCUUUUGCAAUUGAUAGUCAAGGUAGGAGUGGAGGUGUCGGGGAUAUACCCCGCGGUAUGACCCGGCUGGAGUUGUAA